rnacentral:rRNA from 1 species
GUCUACAGCCAUGCCACCCUGAACAAGCCCGAUGUCUGAUCUCGGAAGCUAACCAGGGUUGGGCCUGAUGAGUUCUUGGAUGAGAGACCACCUAGGAAGACCAGGUGCUGUAGGUA